UACGUAGGGGGCAAGCGUUGUCCGGAAUCAUUGGGCGUAAAGCGCGUGUAGGCGGUUCAGUAAGUCUGCUGUGAAAGUCCAGGGCUCAACCCUGGGAUGCCGGUGGAUACUGCUGGGCUAGAGUACGGAAGAGGCGAGUGGAAUUCCCGGUGUAGCGGUGAAAUGCGCAGAUAUCGGGAGGAACACCAAUUGCGAAGGCAAUCCCCUGGGCCUGCACUGACGCUCAUGCACGAAAGCGUGGGGAGCAAACAGG
rnacentral:rRNA from 1 species